UUUAAUUCAGUCAUCACCUACAUUGGUUAUUGUACUAGCUGGGAAGAUUCAAUUUUGAUGCCUUUUGGUACCUCAAGUUUGUUUUAAGGCCAGAUGGAACACAAGAUUCUCUAUAAUAGAUUCUUGUAGGAGAAAUGGGGUAAAAAAAUUGUGGUCUCCUACAUUGUGUGUUUUAGGUGGUAUUUUUCUUGUUUGUUGGGAUUUUGGUUGGCUGGAUUUUGGAGGGGGUUUAUUUGGGUUUCUAAUUUAUUUAACUAAAUCAUCUUCUACAAAGACUUGAUCUGGACUUCAAUAUACCAAAAGAGGAUCUGCCACUUUCCCAGAUAGCUUAUUCUAAUAAUUAAAUCUUCACUGUUAAUUUUCUCUGGUCUGACUUCAGCAUUCUGCUAUAGUUUUCAGUAUGCUUCCUUCAUCAAGUUAAAGAACCUUUAACUAAUUAGUACUGUUUUUCUUUAUGAAUACAGAUUUACAUAGUCUAAGGUAUUGUAAUGCUACUUCUGCAACUGUCUCAAAUCUUCCUCCCAGGAUAUUCAGUGGCUCAUGUUUCAGAGAUCCAAGGGCAUCAGUGUAAAAGUGUAAGCUUGGCUCAGACUUCUGGGAAAAUAGUUAAUUUGUGACAGAGAGCUGUGACGGAGUCUGCAGAAAAGUGCUAUGCAAGAUAUGCAAGGGAAGAUUACAGAGAGAUGAUUAUUAAUAGUUCAAAGAUGCAAAAAAAGCAUCAACAUAGAGAUACAUGAAGUCCUGGUUAGGGUGAGGAAAUACAAAUUAGAAAAUAGAGAGUGAGUGUUAAGAUGGAAAUUCAGUACUAUUAAGGAAGAAGCAAGACUGACACUUCUGACUGAUACCCAAGAUGGCGGCUGAAUGCAAGACAAGGAUGACUUUUCAAUAAGAGACAAGAAGGGAGCACUUCCCAAUCGCUGCUCUCCCUCACCCCAUUGCCAAUGCCACCAACAACUACAGGAGUUGGUAGUAGCAGAGUAUCUUCAAGAAAACCUCUUGAACUGAAAGCAGAAGUAAGAAGGUGAAAGAUUAAGUUUUCUGCACAGGACAUUUCCUCGGGAGUUAGUCAUCAGUGAAAUAAUACAGAGGACGUCACAGCUGCCUUGAACUGGCUGUACAUAGCACACGAAAAACAUGAAGCCUCUUGCCGAAGCCCAGGCUCUCGGAGUAGCAGGAAGCUCAGCCCUUAGAGCCCUUCUCAGACUCCCCACAGGACGCUGAGGAAAGAACUGACUGCUGGCAGGAACAAAAAGCAAGAGGCUGCUGAAACAUAUCACCGCAUCAUGGCCCCAAACAGACUCCGAGGGCAAAUAAAGAAGUGUUGAAACUCAGCCUUGAGAGAAAAUUUCGC